CGGCGGACGGGUGAGUAAUGUAUGGGGAUCUGCCUGAUGGCGGGGGAUAACUACUGGAAACGGUAGCUAAUACCGCAUAACGUCGCAAGACCAAAGAGGGGGACCUUCGGGCCUCUUGCCAUCGGAUGAACCCAUAUGGGAUUAGCUAGUAGGUAAGGUAACGGCUUACCUAGGCGACGAUCCCUAGCUGGUCUGAGAGGAUGAUCAGCCACACUGGGACUGAGACACGGCCCAG
rnacentral:rRNA from 1 species